UAUAAAAAAAUUUUCAAUUAAAAAAAAUUAAGUAAAAGGUUUUUUUGUAUUAAAAAAAAUAUUUUUUAUUAAACUGAAAUAUUUUUAGCAUGUGUAAAAAAUAUGAAAAAAAUUAAUUCUCAAUUGUUUCGCACUUAAUCAUAUUACCUUUAACUUUAAGCGCGCCCAUAACUCAUCCAAAUUAGUUCACAUAAUCGAGUGGCUACUGUUAUUGUUCUAUAAAAACCUUUUCGACUAUGGAUGUACGUACCAUAUUUGCUAAACAAAAAAUACAAAUAAAUCAAGUAAAUGACAAAGAUAACGAAAUAACGAAAAACUUGUUAGUAAUUAUGUAACUGUAAUUACGUAAAUUUUAUAAGUGAAUUUUGUGUCGCAUUUAAAUAUUAAAAUUGCUGUGCAUCGUUGUACGUAGCGCGUAAAAAUAUUAAAAAACAAGAGAAUAUAAUAUAAAUAUAUUUGCAAAAAAACUAAGAAAAAACAUAAAAGUUGUAAAAUGCUUUGGCUUCAACUUUAGCAAUGUUCGCAUAAGUGCAAAAACAAAACUCAAACUACAACAAAAAGCAAAGAAUUGUUUUAAUGAAGAAAAGAAAAAAGAUAUUUGUUAAAAAAAAGUUAUAAAAACGUAGCAUAAAAGUACACUUAUUAAAACCAAUCACCGACUCGUACAUACAGACACAUACAAGUAUUUUUGCAGCGACAAAUUGUUAGCUACCCCUGGCUGAUUAACAUAUGUAAGCUUUGCAUAUUAACAAAGUAUUUAUACUGAGACAUUAACUAUGUACACGACCUUUAUGUAUACAAAAGUAUAAGAAAUAGUAGAUAAUGCGAGGAAAAGCUCGUUAACGUUGACAUAUUUACAUAUAAAACGUAUUGCCUGUUGAAUAAAAGAGUGGCAUAACUCAAAAAAUUACACAUUUCAUUUAUAUAUGGUUAGAUAAAACUAUAAAGGAGUUGAACUACGGACACAUAUAUCAUAACGGUACAUUUUAAAUACUAGUUAUGCAGGAUUAUUUACUUCACUUUCCACUCUGUAGCUGUUUUCGAUUCGCCAAAAGUUAGAAAGUAGCGUAGCGAUCACCUUAACUUAAAAUUUUGACUUGUCAGUCAUUAUGAGGGCUGCUAUAUAUAUUUCUGGCCUAAUAAGGAAAAUAGGAAUAUUUAUCAACGAAAAUGGUUUUAUUGUUUUUCAAAAUAUUCUCCAUCAAGAUUUAUACACUUUUGCAUGCGCUCAAACAAAUUUUCGAAGCACUUUUUUCACUCCGAUUGAGACACCUCCUAAACAUGGUUUUUGAAUGCUUCAACAUCAUCUUCUGGGGACGAAAAUCGUUAGCCACGCAUUAUUUUCGUGAUGUGUAGGAAUAAAAAGAAGUCAUUGGGUGCCAAGUCAGGGCUGUACGGCGGAUGACUCAUCAAUUCGACGUUUUGGAUGUGUGAGAGCUCGCAUUGUCAUGGUGCACAAUGAUUCGUCUUUUCUUGUUCGUUUUUAGAAUUUCUCCGAAGACUUCAGGCAAACAAAUGGUGGUGUACCACUCAGAAUUGACCGUCCUACGCUGCUCAAGCGGAACAGUCGCCACAUGACCAGUUUUGCCGAAGAAACAGGCGACCAUUUGCUUCGAAGUGCUUCUUCCAGGAACAACUUUCGUUGGAUUUGGCUCGUCUUGGAAGACCCACACGGUCGAUUGCUGUUUUGUUUCGGGCUCAUACGCAUAGAUCCAUUAUUCGUCACCUGUGACGAUCUUAUAAACGUCUUUUGAACCACCGCGAUCGUAUUUUUUCAGCAUUUCUUUACACCAAUCCACACGAGCCUUUUUUUGAGCGAUUGUCAAAUUGUGCGGGAUUCAACGAGAACAAAACUUUUUUACGGCCAGGUGUUCAUGCAAUAUCGAAUGUAUGCUGGUGGAAGAAAUGCAUAGGCAUGCCUCUAUCUGAAGGUAUGUUACAUGACGGUCUUGCGUCAGUUAACAUACGGCAUCGAUGUUUUCUGGCACAACGGCUGUUUUUGGACGAUCUUCACGGAAUUCGUCUUUGAGCGAGCGUCGGCCACGAUUGAAUUCGUUGUAACAGUUUUUCACAGUGCUAUAGGACGGUGCUUCAUAGCCAUACAAAGAUUUUAGUUCAUCGAUGCACUCUUGUCGUGAUAAUCCACGUCGAAAGUUGUGAAAAAUGAUCGCACGAAAAUGUUCACGAGUUAAUUCCAUGUCAGAUUGCACCUGGCAACACUUAGUGUUGCCUAGUCCAGAAAUAUAUAUAGCAGCCUCCGUAUAACGUUACACCAUUUGAAUGAAACUUUUCAUACUCUCUUACGUAGUUUUUUCGUCACGCAAUAUUAGCGUACCCAGUAGUGGUGCACCGAAGGUAGCUAGAGUUUAGCAAUUUUAACAUUUUGAGUUGUGACACUCUUCUAGUGAGCAAGCGAUAUGUAGAUUUACAAAAUAAGAAUUGAAAAUUCACAACUAAUAUCAUGAAUACAUACAUAUGUCGUAUAUCUUUCUAUACAAAAACAAAACAAAAAAUGUAAAUCAUUAUAUACACAUCUAUAUAUAGUUCAUAUAUACAUAUUUAUGUGAAUAUUUAUGUAUGUAUGUACAUACAAUAGCUUUGAAAUGUAAAUGAUCACUAAAAUACACUUCACAAAAAAUCAAAAUUUUUGAAUAUUAUAUUUUUGCAUAAUUUGUUGUUUACUUAAUGAAAAUUUAUAUUAGAAGCUAAUUUUAAUAAUUAUUUAAACCAAAAGCGUAUUUAAGUGUUAAAUUAAUUGAUAUUUUCGUAUAGAAGAACUAAGGAGCUAUACUAUAUAUAAAGCUAGCACAGCUUAUGUUGUAUUCAAAAAUAUUUUUUUUAAAACAAGGGCUGUUGUCAGUUUACUUAAAUUGAUAUUUGAAUGUCAUUAACAUUUUGAUGCGUUUCUUGCGUUGGCGGAAUGCUGCUUUUCUGAGGUGCAUAAGUUUUUUCAAUUUUGUUUUAAUUGUUUAAGGUCGCAAAUAUUAUAUAAAUUCUAGAUUAGCUUUUAUAGUAAUAGCAAUAUAAUUUAUUUUAAUUUAAUAUUAUUUAUUUUAAUUAUAUUAAAUAUAUUAAAAAAAAAAUAUUUUGUUUAAAAUCAUAUUGAAUUUUAAUCCAUUUAUAAUUCAUUCUGUAUAUAUUUCUUAAACAAGAAUAUUUAUUUUUAAAGUGUGUAUGCUUUACGUUUUUAAGUGAUUAGGCCAGUCUAGCGCUUUAAGAAAGGCAUAACUUUGAUUAGACCUCCGUAAGCCAUAGGUAUACCAAAGGUUUAUUAUGAGUUAAAACUCUACCAUAUCCUAAAAUAAAAUAUAACUCCUUACUUAUAAAAUUCUUUUGUUUUGGAGAUAUGCUUAUGCCAUACAGUAUACUCUAUUUUUUUAGGUUUUGCACGAAUUUAUUUUUUUUAAACAAUAAAAGUUUUAAAGGUAUAUAACCAUUAACUAAUUGGUAUAUAACCGGUAAAAAAUGGGUAUAUAACCACUAACUAAUUGGUAUGUAACCAGUGACAAAUGAGUAUAUAACCACUAAUUAAUUGGUAUAUAACCAGUAACAAAUGGGUAUAUAACCACUAACAAAAUCGGUACAUAACCAUUAACUGCUAACUAAUUGGUAUAUAACCACUUGCUAAUCGGUAUUUAACAACUAAUUAAUUGGUAUAUAACCCUUAAAUACUCGGUAUAUAACCACAACACUAACUCUUUGAUUACAAUUGAUUAGUUGAUUUGGUUGAUGAUUUGUGAAAGCACUAACCAACACGCUGCACUCAAACUUUUUCUUCAUAAAGUACCAGCAAACUUUUGAAUUCUUCUUAAUUUCCAACAUUAUAACAUAUUUCUGGCAGGUGCCGUUAAUUUUAGAAGUUUCCGUUAUUUCAUAAAGAUUAAAAAUGACAACGAUGAUAACUUUUACUACACAAAUUAUUAUAUUUGUGUACUCUACUGUUUAUCACGUUAUUGACAACAUAGUAACUUCCAAGAAUUGCCUGACAAUUAACGUAAAUAAACCGCUACAUAUGUACAUACAUAUAUACUCGUUUAUCAUACGAAAAUAAGAACUUCAAACAGUUAUUAUUGUUAUAAUACCUACAAACACACAUAAAAGAUAUUUUAUACCGCUCAGUAUUUCGUUAAGCAGUUUAAGCAUGAAAGCUCUUACGAUUGUACGAGUUUUCAAGUUCUUAAUUCCAACUGAUUCAAGUUUGGAGGAAAAGCUGUAAAGGUAUAUUAAUUUGAUAACUUUUUCCACUACAUUCCGUAGGUUUUUUUAACAAUUGUUUAUGAAAGCUUUCACUUAUUAUUUAUUACUUACGGGUUAAUUGAGUAGAAAGCAAAAAAGGCAGAAAGCUUUUAAGGGCAAAUUAAGUGUUCCAUUGAAAUUUCACACUUUUUAUUGCAAAAGUUAGAAGCGUUAUAGAAUUUAAAGCUUUCAUUAGACUGGGUGAUAUUUUUUCCGAUAUAUUCGGUGGUUUCUUUUAAAAAUGGUUUAUGAAAGCUGUUACUAAGCAAAUAAGGUAUUCCAUUAUAACUUCACGUAUUGAAUGGCAAAAGUUUUGUAAAGCUUUAAAAAGCUUAAAAAUGAAGGCUUUCACUAGCCUGGAAAAUAAACGUAAAACUUCAUUAUUUUAUGGCAAAAGUUUUGAAAAGCUUUGAAUGAGAAUGAAGGCUUUCGCUAGGCUCGAAAAUAUGCUGUAAAACUUGACAUAUUUUCUGGCAAAAAUUUUAGAACGCUUUGAAAAGCUUACAAGCGAGAUAAAAAUGAAAGCUUUCGCUAGUCUCGAAACAAAGCUGUGAAAGCACAUUAAGUUUACAACUUUUUUCUGAUAUAUUCGAAAAGCUUUUUAAAAUUCGUCUAUGAAAGCUUUCACUAAGCUAAAUCGUGAAAGCUUUUCAUUUUUAUAAACGUUUAUAAUUUUUAGUUUCUUAGCACUUUUAAAGUCGUUUAACGUGCUGUUUUCAAUAUUGAUUAUUUAUUUUAGAACAUAAAUAUAAAUAUCCUCGAAACAUUAAAGUAUUCUUCCUUUAUUUUAGGGCCGAAAUCUUUUCAACUAUUUUUCAAUGUCGUUAUGCUCUAUUUUCUUCGUAUUUUAUUUAUUUAUUGUCAAAACAUAUUUAAAGCAAUAAUUUCACACUAAUCGUAGUUUAAAUUAUACAUAUGCAUAUGUACAUACUUACCUAAAUAAGUAUGUGUACAUACAACUGUAGUUUCUUGUAUUUACUUGUAGUAGAUGUGCGUUCCAACAUUAGAUCAAAUAUACAUACAUACAUAUAUUUAUAAAAGAAAAUUUAAUGCGAAAGAAAGUACAGCCAAAACUAAACAAGAAAUAAUACCCACUACGAAAUCCCCAAAAAGUGACUAUUUAGUAACAAUACUGAUAAAAAGAAUAGCAAACUUAAAAACAACAACAAACAAAUACAUAAAUGAAUUAUAUAAUAUAUACAUUUAUAAAUAAAUACAAAAUAUAACUGGGCGUCAAGUACUAUAGUAAAUUAUAUGAAAUUGUAAAUUUUUCGCUGAAUGACAAGUACUCACGCAUACAUUUAUAAAUAUUUUAGUAUUGUAAAAUUAUACUUGUUCAGUUGAUAUUAUUAUUGCAUAUAUGAGAAUAAAGAAUAUACAUAUAAAAGAUAAAUUGGUGAAAUUAAAAAAAAAAAUAA